UCUCCCACUUCACCCAGCUACAGCCCCACAUCACCCAGCUAUAGCCCAACAUCUCCCAGCUACAGCCCUACAUCUCCCAGCUAUAGCCCCACUUCACCUGCUUACAGCCCAACUUCACCAGCAUACAGCCCCACUUCACCUGCAUACAGUCCUACUUCUCCAUCAUAUAGCCCAACAUCACCUUCCUAUAGUCCAACUUCGCCUUCCUACAGCCCCACAUCACCCUCUUACAGCCCGACAUCUCCUUCAUAUAGUCCCACGUCACCUGCUUACAGUCCCACUUCUCCUGGGUACAGCCCCACAUCACCCUCUUACAGCCCAACAUCACCAUCAUAUAGUCCUACUUCCCCAAGUUACAAUCCAC
rnacentral:lncRNA from 1 species